UAUUAGAGCGUCGUAAUGACUCUCGGCAACGGAUAUCUCGGCUCUCGCAUCGAUGAAGAACGUAGCGAAAUGCGAUACUUGGUGUGAAUUGCAGAAUCCCGUGAACCAUCGAGUCUUUGAACGCAAGUUGCGCCCGAAGCCUUUCGGCCGAGGGCACGUCUGCCUGGGCGUCACGC
rnacentral:rRNA from 2 species